rnacentral:rRNA from 1 species
GAUGAACGCUGGCGGCGUGCCUAAUACAUGCAAGUCGAGCGAACAGACGAGGAGCUUGCUCCUCUGACGUUAGCGGCGGACGGGUGAGUAACACGUGGAUAACCUACCUAUAAGACUGGGAUAACUUAGGGAAACCGGAGCUAAUACCGGAUAAUAUAUUGAACAGCAUGGUUCAAUAGUGAAAGACGGUUUUGCUGUCACUUAUAGAUGGAUCCGCGCCGCAUUAGCUAGUUGGUAAGGUAACGGCUUACCAAGGCGACGAUGCGUAGCCGACCUGAGAGGGUGAUCGGCCACACUGGAACUGAGACACGGCCCAGACUCCUACGGGAGGCAGCAGUAGGGAAUCUUCCGCAAUGGGCGAAAGCCUGACGGAGCAACGCCGCGUGAGUGAUGAAGGUCUUCGGAUCGUAAAACUCUGUUAUUAGGGAAGAACAAAUGUGUAAGUAACUAUGCACGUCUUGACGGUACCUAAUCAGAAAGCCACGGCUAACUACGUG